AUGAGGAGGCCGAAGAGAGAACCCCUUAUUUUUUCCAAUUCCCACGUACAACUCCACACAGUCUGUACAUAUUUUCCUUUACCAUUUUUUACUACUAGUUUACAUAAAACUUGUUACCAUCGCAAUAGUCAAACAUUUACACAAAUAUUAUAUACUUUUCAUAUAAAAAAACCCCUUUCUGGCUAUCCUUCUCUCAUGUGUGUACGCUUUCAUGUUCAUAUCAUCACCUAAUAUAUGAAAAAUUGCAAUAUCAUCACAAUCAGAUCCAACACAAAACGUACGCGUCAAUGCGUUUCAAUUUCCGGAAAACAAAAUCAACAGCACAACAACUAACAUAACCAAACAAAUAAUGGAGCAACCAAAUAAGAAGAAGGAGAAGAAAUUGAAAUAAAUCUGUUCACGGUCCUGUUCGCGACGGGGACGAACCUCUGCGCUAGCCUACAACCUCACUACCGCGACACACCUCCGCCGGACAUCCCGAUCGGACCAUCACGCGCCGGCAGGGCCAUCUGAAUUCGGCCACCACCCCAACACCACGCCGACGAACCCAAAUCGCCGUCCUUCACCGUACAAGGGCCCUUUCCGAAUCGAGAUCAUUGUUGUCGGUAAUAUGUUUCUUUUCUUACUUUGCUUGCCUCACGUUUCAAUAUGGGUUCUUGGAAUUUUGUAUUUGCUUUUUUAGAAAUAUGGGUGAGAUCUUUUUUAGAAGAAACAAAGAGGUGCAAGUGGUUGUUCCAUUCUUCACUCGUAUGAAUAGUUAUAGCUAACGUCAUCUACGGUUGUUAAAAAGCAAUAUAUAUUUAACUAGUAGAAGACCCGUGCUUCCGCACGGGUAACUCAAAUCUUAAGAUGAAUAAUAUAUUACAAACGCAUAAAAAGAAGUUUAAAACUUAAAUGAGGAAUGUUAAAUUAAGAUUCAUAAAACAUAAUAUAGAUGUAAUGAAACUAUAUAUAGUAGCUAUUUAAAAAAAAUUGGAAAUGCAAUAGAAAAAAAAGGUAUUAUGGUGAUAGUGAAUCGUGAAAGAGUGAGUUUCAGUGAUAAAAUUCACAUAAGAAAGGUAUCAUAGUGAUAGUGACACGUAAAAAUAGUGAGUUUCAAUGAUAAAAUUUACAUAAAAAGUAUUAUGGCAAUAGUGACCCAUAAAAAUAGUGAGUUUCACCAAUAAAAUCAAGUAUUUUAGAUCAGUUUGGUUGUUACUGAUAUAUAAUUGUUAUUAUAAAAUCACUAAUCACUGUAAAUCUUAAGAUGAAUAAUGUAUUACAAAUGCAAAAAAAGAAGUUUAAAAACUUGAAUGAAGAAUGUUGAAUUAAGAUUCAUAAAACAUGAUAUAAAAUUAUAAAUGUAAUGAAACUAUAUAUAGUAGCUAUUUUAAAAGGGUCUUAUGGUGAUAGCGACCCGUGAAAGUAGUGAGUUUCAGUGAUAAAAAUCACAUAAGAAAAGUAGUAUGGUGAUAGUGACCUGUAAAAAUAGUGAGUUUCAGUAAUAAAAUUCAGUAUCUUAGAUUGGUUUGGUUGUUACUGAUAUAUAAUUGUUAUUAUAAAAUCACUAAUUAAUGCAAAUCUUAAGAUGAAUGAUGUAUUACAAACGCAAAAAAGAAGUUUAAAAAUUUGAAUGAGGAAUGUUAAUUUAAGAUUUACAAAACAUAAUAUAGAUGGAAUGAAUCUAUAUAUAGUAACUAUGUAAAAAAAAACACAUAAAUUCAAUAGUCAUUCAUAUCUUAGGUCAUUCGAUAAGACAUGAUUGUGUGUGAGAUACAAUUGUUAUUAUAGAAUCAAUAAUAGCUUGAAAUAUUUAAAAAGAAAUAUUUAUCAAAUCACCAACAUGAUAGUGUCCCGUGAAAAUAGUGAAUUUAUGCUAAUUAUAAAUAUUUAUAAUAUUUUGUUGAUUAAAUUAAAAAAUGUAUUGUGGUGACAGUGUCCCGUGAAAACUUUUUAGAUGAAUAAUUUUCAAUUUUAAUUGAUAUAGAAUUUAUUUAAAUUCAACUAUAAAAUAUACAAUAUAUAAUUUAAUAACAAAUAUUACUAAUAAAUAUAAAUAUUUACAAAUAUUUGGUUGGUUAAAAUAAAUAAAAAAAUAUAUUGUGGUGAUAGUGACACUGACACGUGCAUUCAUGCAUUUACAAAUAUUUUGUUAUACAAUUCUUAUUAUAAAAUCAGUAAUAACUGUCAAUAUUUAAAAAUAAAAAUGUAGUAAAUCACUCACAUGAUAACCCAAUAUAAAUAUUUAUAAAUAUUUUGUUUACUAAAAUAAAAAAUAUAUUUUGGUGACAGUGACCUGUGAAAAUAUUGAGUUUCGGUGAUAAAAUAGAUUACGCUCGUAGUGACCCAUAAGAUAAAAAGUUAGUUGUAUACACGAUUAUUGAUAUUCAAUUAAAUAAAAUAAAUUAUUAAUUUUAUUCAAAAUUAAAAUAUUAAUUCAUUAACAUUUUUAGUAAUAAUAAAUAAAUAAAAUUGAUUAAAAAUGUGACAAAAAUCAAACUUUUCAAACUUAAACUCAUAUUUAUAUAAUGUUUACAUAAUAUAAUGUUCACUUGAGAAAAAAAGAGAAUAAUUCAUAAUACCAAAAAAACGAUAUAUAAAAUAUAUCUAAAAUACCUAUUAUAAUCAACAUGCGUAAUUGUAUAGAUAAUAAUGGUUAAGUCAAAAUAAUUGUAUUAAAAAAUUAAAGAAAUUACAUAGACAACUUAAUACCAGUUCAAGAGAGCCCCAAUUGAUUUGUAGUUUUUUAAUUGAGUGGUUGGUUCAUUCAAUUGGUGUAGUUUGAUGAAAAGGUUUUAGAAGUUAUUUCAAGAGGUGGUGUGAUUGGUGGAAAAAACAUCGGUAUUCCAACAACAUAGAGACUGCAAAGUUGAGCUAGUAUAUAGGACAGUGGUGAUGGUGCAGGUUAAUGACAUACAUUAAAUAAUGAGACUUUAAAUAACUGUACUUUAUGGAAGAAAACACAUAUAACACUUUGUAGUUGCUUUGAAAUAGGUGAUUGUAAGCAUGAGAAAGGGGAAAAAGUGGAAAGGUGGGAUAUGCUGCAUGAAAUGAAAAAGCUGGAAGUUCCAAAAUGGAAAUUGAAACAGUCUCAAGUUUUAAAAAAGCUAGAUACAAACGUGAUAGUGAGAGAUUUUAAAUAGACAUCUCAAGUUUUAAAAAAAACAUAAAUUUUAAAAUCAUUGCCAUGCAUUUUAAAAAUUAAUUAUAACUCAAUAGUACUCUACUUUAAAACUAAUGUGUAGUGGCUAGGGGUGGACAAACGGUAAUCACCCGACGGGAACCGACCGUUCCGAUCCAAAAUUUGACACACGGUUCGGGUUCAGUCGGUUGGCGGAUUAUGUCGGAAACUAGCAAAGGGUUGUUGCGGGCUUCUACGGUCGGAUUCGGAGGUUGGUUUUGGGCCCGUCAGAAACCGAAUCCGACCGAAUCUAAGUAUCUUUAUAUGCUAGGCCCAAUCUAAUCUUAACCCAGUCCAUUUCUUCCCUUCCUAUGACUAUAACCCAGCCCAAUUUAGAUUGAGACUUGUAUAUAGUUUAUUGUCUCAGAUGUUUUAACCCUAAUUUGUAUCAAACCUAGUUGUGCCUCCAUCUCAAUAUCUCUGCGCCGUUUCCUUCUCAGAACAUUGGAAUCUCUCCCUCCUCAAGUAUGUGCUUCCAUUCACAAACAAGAUUUCUAUGCCUUAUCUCAGUAAUAAAAAAGGAUUGUCUUUUUUACUAAUUUUUCCAAUUGAUGGAUCUGAAGGUAUUAGGCAAGAAAUGCAAACUGGAUGCAUCAAGAAGGACACUUCAACCAAGUGUUGGUGACAAGUUCUUGAUAUGAGAACUAUCUAGUUUGAACCUUAUUUGCAGAAUGCCUGCAAGAGGUUUAUAACCCUAACAAGGACAAGGACAUCAAUGUAGUCUUCUAUAACAUUUCAGGUUAAGAGAGUAGGUUUGAUUCCUCUCGUUAGAAUCUUUGAUUCUUUUACAGGUUGAGCAAGAAAUGCAAGUUGCGCAGGGCCUUAAUAUUUCUGAUUCCUUCUGUAGUAUUUUCCAUACAUGUUCUGGAUUUGAAAUGAUUGAAAUACUGAAGAAAUUGUUGGAUUUUAACAUUCCAUAAAUUUUUUCUUUGUAUUUGCUGUGGUAUUGAAUGUUGUAUUAUAUUUUAUUAAAUUUAUGAUUUAUGUUAUUUGGAUAUUAAGGUUUUAUGUUAUUUGGAUAUUAUUUCAUCUUAAA